GCGAACCGCCGGAACGACCUUCGAGGGCGAGGGUUUUCGUAGCCUCCGGUGCCACGAAAACCCUCGCCCUCGAAGGUCGUUCCGGCGGUUCGC
rnacentral:pre_miRNA from 1 species